rnacentral:rRNA from 1 species
UACGAAGGGGGCUAGCGUUGCUCGGAAUCACUGGGCGUAAAGGGUGCGUAGGCGGGUCUUUUAAGUCAGGGGUGAAAUCCUGGAGCUCAACUCCAGAACUGCCUUUGAUACUGAAGAUCUUGAGUUCGGGAGAGGUGAGUGGAACUGCGAGUGUAGAGGUGAAAUUCGUAGAUAUUCGCAAGAACACCGGUGGCGAAGGCGGCUCACUGGCCCGGUACUGACGCUGAGGCGCGAAAGCGUGGGGGAGCAAACAGG